rnacentral:lncRNA from 1 species
GGAACACUGGGAAGGGGCAACCCAGAAAGGAGCCCUGAAUACAUUCUCAGUAAAUAUGCAAACUUCUCGCUAAAUGUGUUGUGGUGGCAGUGGAGGACAAGUUGAUGUCAUUAUAUUCCUUUUAGAGAGAGAAAAAAAAAAUUCUGAGAUGAUUUACCAGUAAAACAAAUCCCAAGCUAAGUUGCGAGCCCUGAGGGUAUCUACUAUAAAAGCUCAUUUCUUAGGGCUAAGUUCUCUUGGACUGGCCCACCAGAAGAGUCUCAUUAUAAAAGUUAAAAAAAUAAUAAUAAUAUGAAAAGAUAAGUAAAAGAAAAAGAGAGAAAGAAAAGCCAAUUGGCCAGGUUCCUUCCACAAUCAUUAACCAUUUGUUCCUGCCACCCAAUGUCCUUGGUUAAGGUGAUCUGACUUAAAGGCAAACAAAUGUGGCUGAGUAUAUUU